UCGUGGCCUGGUCUCCAUUAU
rnacentral:miRNA from 3 species